GCUGGGUGUGGUGGCGCACACCUGUAAUCCCAGCUACUCGGGAGGCUGAGGCAGGAGAAUCACUUGAACCCAGGAGGCGGAGGUUGCAGUGAGCUGAGGAUGCACCAUUGCACUCCGGCCUGGGUGACAUGGUGAGAUUAUGUCCCCC
ensembl:misc_RNA Metazoa_SRP Metazoan signal recognition particle RNA